rnacentral:rRNA from 1 species
CAGUAGCCGCGGUAAUACGUAGGGUGCGAGCGUUAAUCGGAAUUACUGGGCGUAAAGCGUGCGCAGGCGGUUCGUUAAGACAGAUGUGAAAUCCCCGGGCUUAACCUGGGAACUGCAUUUGUGACUGGCGAGCUAGAGUACGGUAGAGGGGGAUGGAAUUCCGCGUGUAGCAGUGAAAUGCGUAGAUAUGCGGAGGAACACCGAUGGCGAAGGCAAUCCCCUGGACCUGUACUGACGCUCAUGCACGAAAGCGUGGGGAGCAAACAGGAUUAGAUACCCCAGUAGUCCCUGUCUCUUAUAC